rnacentral:lncRNA from 1 species
CUUAUAUGUCUUUUCCUUCAAUUCAUGUGCUUUGGGAAAAAAUGUAUUCAAGUGAGAAUGAGUCUCUCAGUGCUUUCAUCAGAUGAGGUGCACCCCAGAAACAGACAAGGUUAGAAACAGACCCAGCCUUUGACCACAAGAAACUUCCUCAUGUGCACCUGUAGAGUGACACAGGCUUGUCUGAGUCUCCUUGUCUCCCAGGGUAUGCUUGGAAGCACGUGUGCCUGCUUUCAGUUGUCACAGAGACUGGAUGGAGCUACUAC